rnacentral:rRNA from 1 species
GCAUAUCAAUAAGCGGAGGAGAAGAAACUAACCAGGAUUUCCCUAGUAACGGCGAGCGAACCGGAAAGAGCCCAGCUUGAAAAUCGAGGUGCUUCGCACCUCGAAUUGUAGUCUGGAGAAGCGUCCUCUGCAGCGUGCCGGCCCCAAGUUCCCUGGAAUGGGAUGCCCAAGAGGGUGACAGCCCCGUCGAGGCCGGUCUAUUUAUUGUUGCUCCACGAGGCGCGAUCUGCGAGUCGGGCUGUUUGGGAAUGCAGCCCUAAGUGGGAGGUAAAUUCCUUCUAAGGCUAAAUAUUGGCGAGAGACCGAUAGCGAACAAGUACCGUGAGGGAAAGAUGAAAAGAACUUUGAAAAGAGAGUUAAACAGUACGUGAAAUUGUUGAAAGGGAAACGAUUGAAGUCAGUCGUGCUGGCGCGAAAUCAGCUCGACCACUAGGGGAUCACAAGCUGUAGCGAGCCUCAAAACCGCUACGACUCGUGAUUGCUUAGUGGCCUGGUGCACUUUCGUGUCGGCUGGUUAACAUCAAUUUCGAUCGUCAUAAAAAGGCUGGAGGGAUGUGGCUCCUCCGGGAGUGUUAUAACCUUUAGCGGAAUGUGGUGAUCGGGAUUGAGGUUUGCAACGAAUACCUUCAGGGCUGUUCCACCUGGCUUCUCAUCGGCAUCCUGGCGGCGACAGCUUGCUGACGUUGUUAGGAUCAGCCUUCGAACAGGCUAGAGUGUGAGCAAAUUCGUUAAGGAUGUUGACGUA